UAAACUUGAUGAAAAAGCUACUCGAUUCAAAGGAUGCAGAGAUAAGGAAACUUGAAAACAUAGUUCAAGAAAAAGAAAGGGAGAUAGAGAGGUUACAAUCAGGAUACUCAAGAACUCAAGAUCUUGACCAGUCUGCUCUACACAGAAGAAUAGCUGAAUUGGAAGAAAUGUUAAAGGAAAGGGAUGCAAAGAUUGACGGACUGCAAAAAGAGUUACAAAUUCUGCAACAAAAAGCUAUAGACUGGAAAAAUCAUGAGGAUCAGAGUGCAACUGUACAUGCAGAGUAUUGUAGUGAACUCGGUCAAGAUGGCUCAGUGAUGGCCAUAAGUAGCCAGACCGAAAUACCAUUACAUGCGUUUCCUUCAAAAGCAGGCUCAGCCUCACACAACUGGAGAGACACCCUUCUUAAGAUCUUGGAAAAGCUGACUCAAGAUGAACUGAAGAAAAUGAAAUAUUACAUGUGUAAUGACGAAUACAGCAUACCCAUGGGCUCAUUGGAGGACAAGGACAGAGUUGACCUAGCACGCCUAAUACUGACAAAAUGGGGUACACGACAGUCAGUGCUGAAAACACGAGACCUCAUAAAGAAAAUCCCUCAUAAUGACGAUGAUAUGAUACAACUGUUUGAACCUUUCUUGAUGAGCAUUGGUGAGACAUGGUGAUCAUUUGCUAGUUAUUUCCUUCUAAGAACCAGCUCUUCAUUAUUUUACUACGGUUUUCGUAGUCAGACCAUAAAAGAACCAUACCUGGUCUCCCAGAGAACCUUUCAGUGAAUAGUUUUUUAUAAGAAUUUUUUUUUUUAAACUGUAAAGAAACUUUUGUGAAAUUAAAAGAUUUUAUGAAUCUUAGAUGAUCUUCAUGAAAUAAGUCAAUAAUUAACCUUUUUAACCAGUAUUUAAGUAUCCAUAAAACAGAUUUCAUAGGUAUGGAAUUUACCAAACAAUUCCUGUAUAUGACAUGACAUUCAGGUUAUUAUCAUGGAGCAGAUGUAGGUGGUGUUUUCUUUUUUAAGAUAUUAAAAAGCUUAAGCUUAAUGAAGUGUAAGGUUUUGUUCACGACACUUACUGUGUAGGUAAAUUAUUACUCAUAUUAUAACAUCAUACUCUUAGCAAAUGAACAUUAGAAAUGUAAUUUUAUAUAACAUUUUAUUUGUUUUCUGACUACUUUAUUUUGUUAAUUAAUAAUCGUAAUACAAAGAUCGACAACAACUAUUGACAACAUAUUAGGUUGAGUUGUCAUUUUAUGAGAUUCAAGUCAAUUCAAGUCAAGUCAAGUCAAGUCACCAUUAUUUCUAUACCGCUUUUAACAAUACAUAAUUGUGACAAAGCGGCUGUACAGUAUUAAAUAGGAAAUAGUGCAUCAAUAAUGCAAAACGGCAGCAGUAAACACUCAAUUUUCAGGUAAAGGCAGUUCAUCAUUGGAUUCAAUGAUGUCAUCAUCUUGCAUGUUCCUUUAAAUGCUAAUGAGCUCUGCUCACCCCGCCCCUCUCUCUUUUGUGGGGUGACGAGCUGGUCUGUUUACUUUUGCUGCGUUUAGCUAUGAAACUUUAGAAAAUUUAGAAAGGCGAUUUGCAAAGAUGCAUAAAAACCCUUAUAGUCACUUCUGCUGUAUAGGUGAAGCGGCACCACGAAUGAUUCGCAUUUAUGUAGAUCGCCAGGUGCAUUUCUUUCAAAAACUAAAGUAACAUUAAUCUUCUGCAUCUUCAGCGGCUCAGAUGUCAGGAGUAAAAUGAUGAUGCUAUGGUCAUUAUUACAUCCAACAACAGAACACCUCAAUCGCUCAAUCGGAGACAUUCUUGUCUUCUCCUGCACCGGAGUAGACACAAUGGCCGUCGGAGUCAGACUGUUCACAGCUCAGUCAGGGCAGGUCUAAAGUAAAACGUCAUGUCAAUCAACGAGAGAGGCCUCUGUUGGUGUGACGUCACACUGACAAGAAGCUUAGAAUGGUUUGAUUUGAAAAAGGGGACAUUACUUAUAAAGAUGACAAAAAUACCACUGGGUGGAUUUUUAUCAUAAUAGGGUGACUGUGUACACACAUAGCCAACACACAUUUAUGUUCAAACUACAUGUAAAAGCGAGUUUUGCAUCCGAUGACCCCUUUAAAGCAUCAUCUACAUGUUUUUAGCAAGCCAGAGAUGACCACUAUUCUUCUAUUGUAUGUGUGUCUUUCAAUUAGAACAUUUUACAAUAUCGUUUGAUAUUUUUCAGCACAUUCUUUCCAUUCUAUCAUAGUUUAGUUAAAUUUAAUCAAAUAUCUAUUUGUAUUAAAUAUUUCCAAGUUCUCUUUUUUCUUUAUGUGUUUGCACAAGAAAUGUCUAUUGCACAGCCUGUGUGUUUGACAGUGUGUCAUAAAUAGAUCAGUAUGGAGCUCAGUCUGCUUCCUCUAAUACUCCGUGAGUAUCAUUUUCUCAUUUAUGCACUAUUUUUGCAUGUUGUAUAACGAUAUAGUGAAUCAAGGUUCAUUUGUAGUAUAUUUAAGCUCACCUUUUUCAUGUUAUCUGUGUUAUUAGCUCAUGCUAUCUGUGUGUGAAGAUGAAAUACUCUCUGAUGUGCUGUAGAUGAUUGAGACCAGUGUAUUGAUUAUUACUAUGAUUCUUUACUCGGUUUAAGGUUUGCAAUGGUUCAUGGCUUCAGUCGGACAAGCAUGUUCUGAAACCCUGUUUUGUUUGUUUUUUUGGUCACAGUUACUUCAGUAGUUCUUAGAUCUAUGUGUAGAACACCAACAGUUUAUUUGUGGGACUCAAUGCUCAGACUGUUCAUUUUGAUGUCAAGUUUUGUUGUUCUGGAAAGUCCUUGAAUUGGUAAAUAGAUCAGCAUAUUAUUUCACCAUAGAUAAUACUGUGAGACUUGAGGUCCUACAGUAACGCAAACUCUGACCAGCAAUGUACACUGUUAGACAUUUCAAAGGGUUUUUACAGUAACUUACUGGCAACACUGUUGCCAGUAAGUUACUGUAAUUAGAAUUUACAGUAGCAAACCGUAUUUAAUUUACAGUUGCAAACUGUAGCUGUUUUACAGCCAAAUACUAUUAAAAAGAUCAGAUUCAACAGUAUACUACUGUACUGUACUGAAACAAGUAGAAGAAAGGGUACACUUUUAAAAGGCAAACCCCACAAAGAAUACACAAACUUCUCAAAACCAUAGUUGUUCUCUUACCAUGAACUGUCAGUCUCAGUGUGGUUGGCAUGCUCAUGUCUUUCUUGAUGCUUCACUGCAGUUGCCUUUAAAACACAAACACAACAAAAUGCAGUAAAUCUUAAAUUCCAUUAAUAAUUAUAACAAACUAAUUCUAAAACUAGAAAUACAGCUAACAGUUAGCUAUAUAACUUGUCUAACCUAGCUAACAUAAUAGGCUACUGGCCAACAUUAUACUAACACCUGAACAAAAUUUCUCAUUAGUUAACCUAAUGUUAAUAUAGGAUAAGUGUUGCUUGUUGAAAUUAUUUUAAUUCAGUAACUUAAUUAAAUAAGCUGACAAAAACCGUUUGAAACGACAUGUUGACGGGUAACGUUAAAUAUUGCUAUGUUAAACUGGUGUGCAAAAAUCUGACAAACACUCAGACAAACGUAUAUAUAUUUUUACCUUACUUGCUGGUCUUAAUCUCUCGUAAAUUGCAUCGACACACAGCGCGGAUGUUGUCCGGAACUCCUCCGCUCUCGCGGGUUCAUCCCCGGGCAAACGCCGCGACUCUGCCCGCUGCUUCAGCGUCUUCCUCGGACACGAGUAGCGCGGCGCAGCGCGACUCGACAAAAGAAGACAAUAUAGAACUCAUGAAAUAUACAAUCUACAGUGGAUGCUUACAGUACAGUAAUGCCCCGGUAUAUUUCUGACUUACAGAUGUACUUCAAGCGCUCGCGCUAUGUCUGACAUGAAAGACAAACGGAUUUUCCAGUCAUUAAAAGCGAUGCAACACAUCCAGUGUGGUCCGUCCCAAGCUGUUGCGGCGUUGUAGACACUGUGUAGGGCAAAUCUUGUCAAUCCAAAUAUAAUAAAUGAGGAAAAUAAAACGACCUCAAUAGAACGCCGCCAAUGAGAACGUUACAGCAAAUACAGUAGUAUACUGCAAUUUUAAAAAAUACAGUAAGUCUCUGUGUUUGGGGUCUGACGACACAGAAAAUUCCCAUAAUGCAAUGGUUAUUACAGUUAUUUACUGCAAAGGGAAUGUGCAGUAUUAUACUGGGUGAUAUACAGUUAAUAACUGUAGAAAUUACAGAAAUGUCUAACAGCGUAACUGACCACAAUGAUGCCAUUUCCCAUAAUAAGAACUGAUGACACAUAAAAUAAGAUCUGCAUUCAGUCUGACUUACUGACUUAUGACUUAUACCCCGGCUUCACAGACGAGGCUAAGGCUUGGUCCCAUCUAAAAUGUAAGUCUGAGCUGUUAGCAUCUCAAGAUGCUUACCAGUAAUGUUUUUUCUAAAGCAUGUUUCUAAAAAUUACUUAAAUGUCCUAAUUGAACUAUAUGGCCUAAUCCUGGUUUAGUCUAAGCCCUGUCUGUGAAACCAGGCCACUGACUUAUUAUUGACUUAAUUUGUAUUAUGACAGCAUACAAAUGCAUAAAUGUUUUCUUCACCCUUCCUCUGUUACCUCAAACUUUCCAUUUGUUAUUAACCACUACCCAGAGAGCUCUGAAGGAAAAGAGAAUCAUAGGGUCCUAUUUCAAUGAUCUAAUCAUAUGGUCUUGAAAUGCUUGAUGCAGGUGCAUUUAGGGUGUGUCCGAAUCCACUUUUGCAAGUCUAACAAGGAAAAAAAAGUCAGCGUAUCAAAUAAUGGAAUACAAACGGCCGAUAACCUGUGUGAUAGUGCCUGAACACAACUCGUUUUCACACCAGCACGCCCAUUGGCAAACCGAUGGGUGCAAGUGCAUUUGCUAUGUAAACAACGUGGCGCUGGACGUGAAAAUGAUAACUGCGGUACCAAAAAAUACUUGCGUUUUGCCUGGCGUUGCAUUGCGCCGGGUGCAUGAUAGGGCCAAUAGAGUUGAGCAAUUUCUGCUUUGCUAUAAACAGAAUCAGUUAUUUCAUUACUGCUGCAUUAUAUACUGCUUACUUAUAAGCAGAAGUGCUCAGUGCUUUUAUCAGAAACAAUUUGCUAUGUCUCACAGAAACAUAUACACAAUUUUAAGCAAACUAGUAAUGAGUUUUAAUUUAGGUUUUCAUCUCAUAAUCAGUUUAAACUGUUAACACUUGGUAUCCAAGUAUGAAAAUCAAUGUGGAAUUUCAAAAUAAUGUUUUGAUAGAUAUUCAGAUAGUUCUAAAACAACAUUUAUAAAUAAAUGUGAUUUGUUUCUUUUUAGUGCUGAUUUCAGACAUCCACCCUGGACAAACUCAAGCCAAACCCAAAAUAACUGUAAAGCCCCAGAGUUCAGUGUUCACUGGAGACACAGUUACUCUGAGCUGUGAUGUAGGACUGUCGACUGGACAGAAGAUUAUCUGGUACAAAG